UCCUGUUUCCUAGCAGUGAAAUCUUCACUAGAAAACUGCUCUUCUCUUCCAGAGGAGCCCACAUAGAUUAGCAGCACAUAGAAGCAAAGCCCGCGUGAGAGGCCGGAGUGAAAGGACCAGCUCUCCGCAUGACAUAUGCCUGUAGUACACGGUGACUGGCAGAUCUUUGGCCUGGAGACCAUUCUGUUUUUCUCCCAUAAAUCAGCGGCAAGUCUUGUUGGCUGGUGGCAAUUAAGAUAAU
rnacentral:lncRNA from 12 species